UACGUAGGGUCCAAGCGUUAAUCGGAAUUACUGGGCGUAAAGGGUGCGCAGGUGGUUGAUUAAGUGUGAUGUGAAAGCCCCGGGCUCAACCUGGGAAUUGCAUUGCAAACUGGUCAACUAGAGUAUGGCAGAGGGGGGUGGAAUUCCGCGUGUAGCAGUGAAAUGCGUAGAGAUGCGGAGGAACACCGAUGGCGAAGGCAACCCCCUGGGCUAAUACUGACACUCAUGCACGAAAGCGUGGGGAGCAAACAGG
rnacentral:rRNA from 1 species